GCUCCUGUAGUGUAGCUCGGUCAAAUAAGCUUUCUUUCUGUAGAAAGAAACCUUAAGGAAAGAAAGACCGAAUGACUUAAGGAAGAAAGAGCUUAGACCAUUCACUCGACCCUCUCACGGUCGAAACCUGGGUUCAAAUCCCAGCAGGAGCA
rnacentral:tRNA from 1 species